AACCUGUCUAGUAAUCGAUACCCCACGAUAAUUUUCACAUUUAUUUCUAAAUUUUAUAUACCUCCAUCUUUAGGGUUAAUAUUUAUAUUUUUCCCGUAAUAGUCUCUAAAAAGUUAGGUAAAGGUGUAGACUAUAUAAAUGAUUCUGAUGGGUUACAUUAAAUGAUAUUUAAGAAUACAUUAAUAAAAAUUUUUGUUGAAAAAGGAUUUAUUAGUAAACUUAGAAUAUUAUUCUUUCUUGAAUUUGGUAUUAAAUGUGC
rnacentral:rRNA from 1 species